UUAAUUAACAUGAAAUUAAAUUUUCCCCAGGUCAAGUCUGGUUUGCUGGUGAUGGUAAUUGUGCAUGGAUUCCAGACUCAGGAAUCUCUUCCUAAUCUCUUGUUUCUUCAGAGCAUCUUGUUGACAAACAUUGAUGGAAGGGAAUACCACUGCCGUGCCAGCCAGAAGGAAAACAACUAAAAAACAAAAAUCAAGUUGGCUAGCCUGUCUUCAUGGAACAUGGUGGCUUUUUACUUUUCUGCAUUACCAGUUAAAACUAAUUUAAUUUAUUAAUCCUUUUUUUAAAUGUACAGUCAUAUCAUGGAACAGUUUAUUAUUCCAUGUGCAUGUAAAGUUCGUAGCACCUUC